rnacentral:rRNA from 1 species
CCCUAGUAACGGCGAGUGAAGCGGGAUGAGCUCAAAUUUGAAAUCUGGCUGGUUUUACUGGUCCGAGUUGUAGUUUAUAGAGGUGUUUUCGGUGGCAGCCUGGGUAUAAAUCCUUUGGAAUAGGGUAUCAUGGAGGGUGAGAAUCCCGUCUUUGACCCAGGUUCAUGCUACUAUGUGAUACAUCUUCAAAGAGUCGAGUUGUUUGGGAAUGCAGCUCUAAAUGGGUGGUAAAUUUCAUCUAAAGCUAAAUACAGGCGAGAGACCGAUAGCGAACAAGUACCGUGAGGGAAAGAUGAAAAGAACUUUGAAAAGAGAGUUAAACAGUGCGUGAAAUUGUUGAAAGGGAAACGUUUGAAGCCAGCCGUGCGGGCGGAAAAUCAGCCUAGCUGUGGUGGGGAGCUAUUGGAGGUUCGGAGCGCAAGCCCGGCCUUUGGUGGCAUCUUUGUCACAAUGGGUGCACUUUUUCGUUUGCAGGCCAACAUCAGUUUGCUUCGCUGGAAAAGGCCUUGAGGGAAUGUGGCAGCUUUGGCUGUGUUAUAGCCCUGAGGAGAUACAGUGGAGUGGACUGAGGAGUCGCAGCGUGUGCUUUCGGGCAAGGUAGACUGGGUGCUGUGGGAUGGGGCGAGGUACAAUGCAUGCAUUUUGCUUCGUCUUUUCUGUCCUGCACUCGCUCAUCUCUACUCUUCCACGCUUAGGAUGUUGGCAUAAUGGAUUUAAACGACCCGUCUUGAAACACGGACCAAGGAGUCUAACAUAUAUGCGAGUGUUUGGGUGGCAAACCCAUGCGCGAAAUGAAAGUGAACGUAGGUGCGAUCCGCAAGGUGCAGCAUCGACCGAUCUUGAAUUUUUAGGAUAGAUUUGAGUAAGAGCAUAUAUGCUGGGACCCGAAAGAUGGUGAACUAUGCCUGAAUAGGGUGAAGCCAGAGGAAAACUCUGGUGGAGGCUCGUAGCGAUUCUGACGUGCAAAUCGAUCGUCAAAUUUGGGUAUAGGGGCGAAAGACUAAU